rnacentral:rRNA from 1 species
AUGCGGAAGGAGGAGGCAGCCAUGUCGGCAGCAACGGGGAAGCCGAUCCUGUACAGCAAAUGGUUCAGCUCCUGCUCGCACCGGGUUCGGAUCGCCCUUAACCUCAAAGGUGUGGAUUUCGAGUACAGAGCGACCAACCCGAUGACAGAUCCAGAUUAUGAGAAAAUCAAUCCUGUUAAAUUUGUCCCAGCAUUUGUGGAUGGGAAUUUUGUUGUUUCUGACUCGUUCGCCAUCAUUUUGUAUAUGGAAGACAAGUAUCCUCAGUGUCCUCUCUUACCCCGGGAUCUGAAAAAGAAAGCUCUUAAUUUGCAGAUUGCAAGCAUAGUGUGUUCAAGCAUCCAGCCUCUUCAGAGCCAUGCUGUCAUUGGUUCGUAUCUUGGCACAAUGGACACCAACGAGAGCCUUCAGAUGGUUCAACAUUAUAUUGACAAAGGCUUCAGAGCGAUUGAGAAACUUCUGGAAGGAUGUGACAGCAAAUAUGCCACCGGAGAUGAGGUCCAAAUGGCCGAUGUGUUUUUAGCGCCCCAGAUCCACGCUGGUGUGACACGCUUCCAAAUCGAUAUGUCAAAGUACCCUAUUCUGGCAAGGCUUCAAGAUACUUACAAUGAGCAUCCUGCAUUUCAAGCCGCACUUCCUGCAAACCAACCAGAUGCUCCUCCAUCCCAGUGA